AUUGAACGCUGGCGGCAGGCCUAACACAUGCAAGUCGAGCGGAUGAAGGGAGCUUGCUCCUGGAUUCAGCGGCGGACGGGUGAGUAAUGCCUAGGAAUCUGCCUGGUAGUGGGGGAUAACGUCCGGAAACGGGCGCUAAUACCGCAUACGUCCUGAGGGAGAAAGUGGGGGAUCUUCGGACCUCACGCUAUCAGAUGAGCCUAGGUCGGAUUAGCUAGUUGGUGGGGUAAAGGCCUACCAAGGCGACGAUCCGUAACUGGUCUGAGAGGAUGAUCAGUCACACUGGAACUGAGACACGGUCCAGACCCCUACGGGAGGCAGCAGUGGGGAAUAUUGGAACAUGGGCGAAAGCCUGAUCCAGCCAUGCCGCGUGUGUGAAGAAGGUCUUCGGAUUGUAAAGCACUUUAAGUUGGGAGGAAGGGCAGUAAGUUAAUACCUUGCUGUUUUGACGUUACCAACAGAAUAAGCACCGGCUAACUUCG
rnacentral:rRNA from 1 species